rnacentral:rRNA from 1 species
CCCUUAGAUGUUCUGGGCUGCACGCGGGAGACACUGAUGUCGUCAGCGAGCUUCAAAGCUAGGUCGAAAGGCCCAAGCGAAUCUCUCAAAUGACAUCGUGGUUUGGAUCGACGCUUGCAAUUUUUCGUCGUGAAAGAGGAAUCCCUCGUAAACGCAAGUCAUCAACUUGCAUUGAUUACGUCCCUGCCCUUUGUACACACCGCCCGUCGCUCCUACCGAUUGAAUGAUCCGGUGAAAAUCUCGGAGAAGUGCUUUGAUGUCGGUCUCCGACUGAAAAGUUUCUUCAAAGUUAUUUAAAUCUGAUCAUUUAGAGGAAGGAGAAGUCGUAACA